UACGUAGGGUGCAAGCGUUAAUCGGAAUUACUGGGCGUAAAGCGUGCGCAGGCGGCUUUGCAAGACAGAUGUGAAAUCCCCGGGCUCAACCUGGGAACUGCAUUUGUGACUGCAAGGCUGGAGUACGGCAGAGGGGGAUGGAAUUCCGCGUGUAGCAGUGAAAUGCGUAGAUAUGCGGAGGAACGCCGAUGGCGAAGGCAAUCCCCUGGGCCUGUACUGACGCUCAUGCACGAAAGCGUGGGGAGCAAACAGG
rnacentral:rRNA from 1 species